rnacentral:rRNA from 1 species
AUGAACAGGGUCGAUGUGCCAGCCAUGGGUGCUGCCGCAUCCGGCUUCCUGCCUGGCCAGGAGAACUACAUCAUCUACAUGAUCAGCCAACUGAGGAAUGAUUUCAUGGCUGAGCAACGGAGGCUGCAGGACGACAGCUCCAUGCUCCUCCAAGAGGUCAAGGACAUGAGGAGGGAGCUGAUCAGUGGCAAGGACCUCGUUGCAGAGUCCCGCAGGGUGCUGGAAGAGAACGUGAAGGUCCACCAGGAGGUCAAGGACUCCCGCACCACCAUGAAAGCGGACAUUGUUUCCGAGGGCAACAAGGUCAGAAAGGAGAUCCAAGACUUCCGUACUGAAAUCCGGGGCAUGACUGCAGAUUUUAAGUUGUACCUUGGGAAGAUGGCAAUAAGGAUUCUCCUCGCAAUUUUUGGGCUCAUCUUCGCAGGAGUAUCAUUGGCGCUGCCGUAUGUGUGGGAGUUCAUCCACUACUACUGGAACAAGACAUGGGAUACCUUGAAGCCCAAGGAUGAAUAA